rnacentral:rRNA from 1 species
GAUGAACGCUGGCGGCGUGCCUAAUACAUGCAAGUCGAGCGAACGGACGAGAAGCUUGCUUCUCUGAUGUUAGCGGCGGACGGGUGAGUAACACGUGGAUAACCUACCUAUAAUACUGGGAUAACUUCGGGAAACCGGAGCUAAUACCGGAUGAUAUUUUGAACCGCAUGGUUCAAAAGUGAAAGACGGCCUUGCUGUCACUUAUAGAUGGAUCCGCGCUGCAUUAGCUAGUUGGUAAGGUAACGGCUUACCAAGGCAACGAUGCAUAGCCGACCUGAGAGGGUGAUCGGCCACACUGGAACUGAGACACGGUCCAGACUCCUACGGGAGGCAGCAGUAGGGAAUCUUCCGCAAUGGGCGAAAGCCUGACGGAGCAACGCCGCGUGAGUGAUGAAGGUCUUCGGAUCGUAAAACUCUGUUAUUAGGGAAGAACAUAUGUGUAAGUAACUGUGCACAUCUUGACGGUACCUAAUCAGAAAGCCACGGCUAACUACGUG